GGAGAGGUGGCCGAGCGGCUGAAGGCGGCGGUUUGCUAAACCGUUGUACGGCUGAAUGGCUGUACCCAGGGUUCGAAUCCCUGCCUCUCCGCCA
rnacentral:tRNA from 1 species